GUGCUUGCUUUGGUAGCACAUGUACUAAAAUUGGAACAAAACAGAAAGAUUAGCAUGGUCCCUGCCACAAAGAUGACAUGCAAAUCGUGAAGUGUUCCAUAUUUAA